rnacentral:ribozyme from 1 species
UGCCCAGCGACUCCUAUCCCUACCUCCUCGUGGUCCUGGCCGGGGUACGAGUAACCUUGGGGAAGAUCGGGUAACCAACCCCCGGUGGGAACUUUGGUCGUAUGCUGACAGGGAAGG